rnacentral:rRNA from 1 species
UACAGAGGUCUCAAGCGUUGUCCGGAAUUAUUGGGCGUAAAGAGCUCGUAGGCGGUGUGUCGCGUCGGCCGUGAAAACCUGGGGCUCAACUCUGGGCGUGCGGUCGAUACGGGCAUCACUUGAGUUCGGCAGGGGAGACUGGAAUUCCUGGUGUAGCGGUGAAAUGCGCAGAUAUCAGGAGGAACACCGGUGGCGAAGGCGGGUCUCUGGGCCGAUACUGACGCUGAGGAGCGAAAGCAUGGGUAGCGAACAGG